rnacentral:rRNA from 1 species
GAUGAACGCUGGCGGCGUGCCUAAUACAUGCAAGUCGAGCGAACAGAUGAGGAGCUUGCUCCUCUGACGUUAGCGGCGGACGGGUGAGUAACACGUGGAUAACCUACCUAUAAGACUGGGAUAACUUCGGGAAACCGGAGCUAAUACCGGAUAAUAUAUUGAACCGCAUGGUUCAAUAGUGUAAGACGGUUUUGCUGUCACUUAUAGAUGGAUCCGCGCCGCAUUAGCUAGUUGGUAAGGUAACGGCUUACCAAGGCAACGAUGCGUAGCCGACCUGAGAGGGUGAUCGGCCACACUGGAACUGAGACACGGUCCAGACUCCUACGGGAGGCAGCAGUAGGGAAUCUUCCGCAAUGGGCGAAAGCUUGACGGAGCAACGCCGCGUGAGUGAUGAAGGUCUUCGGAUCGUAAAACUCUGUUAUUAGGGAAGAACAAAUGUGUAAGUAACUAUGCACGUCUUGACGGUACCUAAUCAGAAAGCCACGGCUAACUACGUG